rnacentral:rRNA from 1 species
UCAGUAGGCGGUGUGGCAAGUCGGGAGUGAAAUCUCUGGGCUUAACUCAGAGGCUGCUUCCGAAACUGCUGUGCUUGAGUGUGGGAGAGGCGCGUGGAAUUGCAGGUGUAGCGGUGAAAUGCGUAGAUAUCUGCAGGAACACCCGUGGCGAAAGCGGCGCGCUGGACCACAACUGACGCUGAAUGACGAAAGCUAGGGGAGCAAACAGGAUUAGAUACCCUGGUAGUCCUAGCCCUAAACGAUCAGGACUUGGGGUGACUCGCGUAGGCGAGUCGUCCCGUAGCUAACGCGUUAAGUCCUGCACCUGGGGAGUACGGUCGCAAGACUGAA